rnacentral:lncRNA from 1 species
ACUUAGUUAGUCGUUCUUAUUAGAUUUUUAUAAAAUAAAAUAAUUGGAUAACUAAAAAAUAAAAUAUUUGAUUGCCUUUCAAUAAGUGCUAAGUUUAAAGUCUUCAGCCAAACCAAACCAAAGUUUAUAAUAGUUUAUAGACCGGCUCCACCCAAUAGAUGGGUUCAGUCAACGCAGUAUGGCUAUGCUUGUCGAGACAUGAUUGUGCACAUUGGCCAUUUGCCUAUGGA